UACAGAGGUCUCAAGCGUUGUUCGGAUUCAUUGGGCGUAAAGGGUGCGUAGGUGGCGUCGUAAGUCGGGUGUGAAAUUUCGGAGCUCAACUCCGAAACUGCAUUCGAUACUGCGGUGCUUGAGGACUGGAGAGGAGACUGGAAUUUACGGUGUAGCAGUGAAAUGCGUAGAUAUCGUAAGGAAGACCAGUGGCGAAGGCGAAUCUCUGGACAGUUACUGACACUGAGGCACGAAGGCCAGGGGAGCAAACGGG
rnacentral:rRNA from 1 species